CCUACGGGUGGCUGCAGUGAGGAAUAUUGGUCAAUGGGCGCGAGCCUGAACCAGCCAAGUCGCGUGAGGGAAGACGGUCCUAUGGAUCGUAAACCUCUUUUGUCGGGGAGCAAAAGACGCCACGCGUGGCGUUCCGAGCGUACCCGAAGAAAAAGCAUCGGCUAACUCCGUGCCAGCAGCCGCGGUACUACGGAGGAUGCGAGCGUUAUCCGGAUUUAUUGGGUUUAAAGGGUGCGCAGGCGGAAGAUCAAGUCAGCGGUAAAAUUGAGAGGCUUAACCUCUUCGAGCCGUUGAAACUGGUGUUCUUGAGUGAGCGAGAAGUAUGCGGAAUGCGUGGUGUAGCGGUGAAAUGCAUAGAUAUCACGCAGAACUCCGAUUGCGAAGGCAGCAUACCGGCGCUCAACUGACGCUCAUGCACGAAAGUGUGGGUAUCGAACAGGAUUAGAUACCCGGGUAGUC
rnacentral:rRNA from 1 species